CCCGCAACCAAUUCAUAGAAAGUUCAGUAAAAAGAACCCCAAUUUUGGGGUUUUUUUGUACGAGCAAUUUAGAUGUAGAACUGGGCUGAUUAGCCCUUUUUUU
rfam:Avibacterium paragallinarum strain CL AvpgCL_contig_66, whole genome shotgun sequence.